GACAGAGGGGGCAGCGUUGCUCGGAAUUACUGGGCGUAAAGGCGCGUAGGCGGGAUGGCAAGUCGGUCGUGAAAUCCCUCGGCUCAACCGAGGAACGUCGAUCGAUACUGCUGUUCUUGAGGAUUGCAGAGGAGACUGGAAUUCCCGGUGUAGCGGUGAAAUUCGUAGAUAUUGGGAAGAACACCGGUGGCGAAGGCGGCCAUCUGGACCGUAUCUGACGCGUGAGGCG
rnacentral:rRNA from 1 species